GCCCGAGCCCGCCAUGCGGGAGCGAUGAGCGCAGCCGCCGCCCGGCCAUGGAGGAGGAUUUGUUCCAGCUGAAGCAGCUGCCGGUGGUGAAGUUCCGCCGCACGGGGGAGAGCUUGAGGUCGGAGGAGGAUGGAAUUUCGGGAGAGCACGAGGUGCAGAUCGAGGGGGUGAGGACGGAGCUGGAGCCCGUGGAGCUGGGGGAUGGAGCUGCAGUGCCCAAGGAAUUCGCCAACCCCACGGAUGAUACUUUCAUGGUGGAGGAUGCAGUGGAAGCCAUUGGAUUUGGGAAGUUCCAGUGGAAGCUCUCUGUCAUUACUGGAUUGGCAUGGAUGGCAGAUGCCAUGGAAAUGAUGAUUUUAAGUAUCCUUGCUCCUCAGCUGCACUGUGAGUGGCGCUUACCCAGCUGGCAGGUUGCAUUGCUCACCUCGGUGGUGUUUGUGGGAAUGAUGUCCAGCUCCACACUCUGGGGAAACAUUUCAGACCAGUAUGGGAGGAAAACAGGCCUGAAGAUCAGCGUGUUGUGGACUCUCUACUAUGGGAUCCUCAGUGGAUUUGCUCCCAUUUACAGCUGGAUCCUGGUGCUGAGGGGCCUGGUGGGCUUUGGGAUUGGAGGAGUGCCUCAGUCGGUAACAUUAUAUGCUGAGUUCCUUCCAAUGAAAGCCAGAGCAAAAUGCAUUUUAUUAAUAGAGGUGUUCUGGGCCCUUGGGACUGUUUUUGAAGUGCUGCUGGCAGUGGUGGUGAUGCCCACGCUCGGCUGGCGCUGGCUCCUCAUCCUCUCUGCCCUCCCACUCCUGCUCUUUGCUGGCCUGUGUUUUUGGCUGCCAGAAAGUGCCAGGUAUGAUGUGUUAUCUGGGAACCAGGAGAAAGCUCUGGCCACUUUGAAGAGGAUUGCCACAGAAAAUGGAGCUCCAAUGCCCCUGGGAAAGCUGGUGGUUUCCAGACAGGAGGACCGAGGCAAGAUGAGGGAUCUUUUCACCCCCCAUUUCCGCUGGACCACCUUGUUGCUCUGGUUUAUUUGGUUUUCCAAUGCUUUUUCAUAUUAUGGGUUAGUUUUAUUAACUACAGAGCUCUUCCAAGCAGGAGAUGUUUGCAGCAUAUCCAGCAGAAGGCAGGAAGUAAAAGCCAAGUGCAGCCUGACCUGUGAGUACCUGACAGAGGAAGAUUACACUGACCUGCUCUGGACAACCCUGUCAGAAUUCCCUGGGGUGUUGGUGACCCUGUGGAUCAUCGACCGCAUCGGCCGCAAGAAAACCAUGGCCCUGUCCUUCCUUGUCUUCUCCUUUUGCAGCCUCCUGCUCUUUCUCUGUGUUGGAAGAAAUGUUCUUACUGUGCUGCUCUUCAUUGCAAGAGCUUUUAUUUCAGGAGGAUUUCAGGCUGCCUAUGUUUACACUCCUGAGGUUUAUCCCACAGCCACACGUGCUUUGGGCCUGGGAACGUGCAGUGGAAUGGCCAGAGUGGGAGCCCUCAUAACCCCGUUCAUUGCACAGGUGAUGUUGGAAUCUUCAGUCUAUCUGACUCUGCUGGUUUACAGUGGCUGCUGCCUGCUGGCUGCCCUGGCCUCCUGCUUCCUGCCCAUCGAGACCAAGGGCCGUGGCCUGCAGGAGUCCAGCCACAAGGAAUGGGGCCAGGAGAUGGUGGGCAGAGGAUCUCAUUCCCCAGGGGAAUCCCAGGAAUGAUGGGACAUGGAAACCUGCUGGAAGAAUGAGGGAUAGGAGCAAGAUGUCUCACAAAACCUCCGAGCCUGAAGCAUGGAAAGCUGACCACCAUCACUGCCAUCCUCACGUGUCAAACUGCAGGAGUUUGGGGUUGAACCUCAGCAAAUUGUGUUUCUGCUGCUCUUUGCUCACACUCAUAAAAAAUUUUUGGAUGGAGAAGCCUUUGAUCCAGAUACCCUUGGAAGUUUAGCAGGAGGGGUUUCUCUUCAGUCUGUCAUGCUUGCAUGGUCAGCUCUUCAGCUUAAAAUGUCCUGUGCCAAGCAAAUGCCAAGUGACUGCAGCCCAGCAUAAGCUGUCAUUAAAACACUGAGCUCUUGAUGCCUAAAACCAAGAGGUUCAUCUUUAGUGUGGCCCUGGCCUGGCACAGGGUGGAUUCCAUCCCUACCACUAUGGAUUAAAUGCCUGCCUUGCACUUUCAGCCAUCAAAACCAUCACCAAAAUGUGGUUCCGUCAAACCGACGCAGGCUUUCCAGCUGGGUUUUGUUCCUGGAGAGUGCAUUGCUUGGAAACUGAUUCCUGACUGUUUCUCCCAUCCCAGGUGGGUAGUUGGAGCAGGGAGGGUGGUGUUUGCUGCAGAGCUGGCACCUUGUAGCAGAAAUGUAAAUCACAGAGUCAUUAAGGUUGGAAAAGACCUCCAAGCUCAUCGAGUCCAAUGUGUAAAUCCUCAUGUCUUGGAGCAGGAUUGGACUUCUCUGGCAUUGCCAGGGGCCUUGAGCUCUCUGUCUGUUGCUUGGAGCGAGGAGGUUCUCACUCCUGGGGUUCUCUGUGUGGAUCCAGGUGUGUCCCUGCUCCAUUACCUGGGCACAUCCUCAUGCUGGGGUAGCCCCAGCCGGAGUCAGGAGCUGCUGUUGGGAUGGAGCCACUCCCUGGCAGCUGGGCAGGACCUUUCCUGCUGACUGUACAUUGACUGGUGACAAAGGAAUGUAGCUGGAAUAAAUGAACAAAACCAUGGGAAGAGCCCAUCUGCAGUGCUCUUGGAUGAGGAACAUCCCUCCUUCAGGUGUGGCUCCUCAAGGGAUGAUCCCACUCUUGUCAGGGAAUGUAACAGAGCUCAGGAAAGGACAGGCUCAUCUGGUUUGUCACAAACCUGUCCCUGGGCACAAGUCAGGUGCCAGAGUCUGUGGGAAUGUGUAGAGAUCUGAGAUGUGCCUCAUCAAGGUCUCAGUGGAUGUUCAGGAUUCCAGACCUUGGGACACACAGCCAAACGUAGGUGAGAUGGACUUGGUGAGGCUGUGGGAGCAGUGGGGGUUUGUGGCCUGUCUGAGCAAGUGGCUCACCUGAACACAGGUAAAUGUGCAACACAUUUUUACAGUUGAAGAUUUUAAGUAUCCUGGGAAGCAGGGCCCAUUCCUGGGGUCAGCAAUAGGUCUCCAAGUCCAUGUUUGGUGCAGUACAAGUGAGCACUGUGGGGCACAGCUGUCACUGAGGGACACAGCUCUGAGGUCACUGCAGUGUUCCACCACGUGCCAGGCUGCUCGUUUGGAGACUGAGGGGAAAACAGGAGUGGAAAAUUCCUUAAAGAAAGCCAGGAAACUCAGGCUGAUGGAAAAGGCCAAAGAGGUUGAAAUUGUGUGAGGGGGGAUGUUCUGCUGAGAACUGAGUUUGCCAAGGCACCGAGUGUCCAUCCAGUCCCAGUGGAGGCUGGUGAGUGAAGGAUUCCAGGAAAGAUUGGUGGAAACAGGCAAACUUGGCUUUUCCCAGCGAGAUGAAAAUGAAUUCAGCUCCCAAGAGAUCCUUGGGCUCCCUGGGCUCAGCUGUGGGUGAUGGCACAGAACCCUCUGUCCGUUCCAGCUGGGUUGGUUCCCUUUGUGUCCCCUGUCCCUGUGUCCUCACACUCCACCAAAAUCAAGCUCCAGCUGAUCCCAGUAAACAGACAGGGCUCUCAUGGCACUGACACCAACCACAGCUCAUUUGUUCACCUCCUUCUGCCAGGCUGGAGUUGGGUCCUUCUCUCUGUGUGCCUAGGGCAGCCUGGAGCAGAACCAGAGGGACUUGUUCUAUGGAAUGCCAGAAUUCCAAAGUGAUUUGGGUUGGGAGGCACUUAAAGCUCAUCCAGGCAGGGACACUUUCCACUAGACCAGGAUGCUCCAAGCUCCAUCCAUACCUGACCUUGAACACUUCCAGGAAUGGGGAACCUCUGCUUUCACUUGGACUGGCCUCUGAUAUGCUGGAUGUGGAACACAGCAGUGAAGAAGCAGAUCCUGGAUGGGUUUAAUCAGAUAUUACCCCACAUGUGUGGCCAGUGGGCUGGAAAAGCUGCUGGAGCUGGGAUCUGCUGGAGCUGGGAUCUGCUGGAGCUGAGUUUGCCUGUGCACAGUCAGGCUGUUCACCCCUCAGUGACAGCUCUGAAAUUCCAUCCUCAUCCUGCUGCUGGUGGAGGCCCUCGAGGCCAUUCCAGUCCCCCAGGUGUUUCCAUGCUUCCUUCCUUGGGCUUGCCAUGAGCUGUGUUUGCAUCCCAAAUCUCUGGAAUUGAGCCUGGGUAGAGGUGACAGAGAAUCCAAAGUGCAGGACAGGCCUGCCCUGAAGGAAUUCCCCCCCACCAUGGCCCAGUUUGUUACUCAAUGCCUUGGGUUAAAAUUCUGCUUUCCCAGGGGCAAUGUUCACAUCUCACUUCAUUUUUUUAGGUGAAUUAUUCAGCAGUUUUAAAGAAUUGCAUUCAACGGCCUUUAGAGAGUUUUAGGUGAAGUUUAUCUGUUCAUGCACACCUGGAUCCUACAGAUAAGCUGCUUCCCAGAUGUAAAGAAAAGUCACAGGAAUCCUGUUCCCAUUGUUCCCUGGUCUGCUUGGAAUCUGGAGUGAUGACUCCUACUCCUCCAGGAUGAAAUGUUUAGGAAAAAUGUGUGUGGAGACAUGGAAUGAUGAUCUCCUGGGACAUUUCUGUGGAAUCAGCAUUUGAGGCCCUUCCUGUGCCAUCACCAAGAGGAGGAACCAUCAUGCACAAGAGAUUUGAACAUUCCUUUUAUUGGUCACACAGAUUAAAAUGAGGGCUUUAGAAAACAAACAGAGUUAACCUGCAAAUAAAAUUACAGAUCAGCUCAUUCCUGUUUGCCAGGAGGCCGUGUGAGAUCACAGGGCAGUGGCUCCUGCAGGCUCUGAGAUCACAAGAAUCAGCUGCUUGUUGCCAGGUGUACAGUGAUUUCCUACACCCCUGUUCAUCCAGUGGAAUUUUCCCAAAAUCACCAAAGUGGGGCUGGAUUUACAGCAGAGAAUGUGCUGCUGAAUGUCUCAUAUUUGGAAUAAGUGAAACUGAGGGGAUCCAGUUCCCCUGGAUGGCUUUUCCUGGUGUGGGAUCACAGACCAUUGAGUUCAGCAUUAAUCAGCAGGGAAUUUAUUUACCUUUAUUUACCUUUUCCUGACUUUACCUACUGACUGCAGCAUUUCCAGGGAAGCUGGAAAUUCUUUGGACAGUCUGGGCAUGGCAGUGGCUCCCAAUUUCUCCUGCCCAGCUGUGUUUGCUAAGCCCAGCAGGGAGAUGCCCACGCUGCUGAGCUAUUCCUGGCACACGGAGUCAUCAGGAGAGAGGAGCUGCACCACGGAUGAGUAAGGAACACUUGGCUUAUCCACACAGGAGAGUGAGCCAGGCACUGUGCUGGGCUCACAACAGCCUUUGGAUUUGAGGCUUCCUGACCAUCCAGUGCCCUGUCUGGGCAGGAAAGACACGUGGCAUGGGAAGAUCAGCCAGACUGUGUCUUCAAGAACAGUGUGUUGGGUCCCCAACAGCAUCCCUGAACACCCCAAAAAGUCCUGCUCCUCCUCUGAGAAGCACAACCUUUCCCAAGCCAGGCCUUCUCUCUGAGCUGUCCCACAGCUGGGAGAAAUGGGAAGCUGAGGGAGUUUUAGGGACAAGAAGAGCUAUUUUCUUAUGCUCUGUGCUAUAUAUAGAGUCUGGCAAGCCCACAGGGCUGGAACAAGUUGCUUUUGUUGCUAAAACUUCGUUUGGAAAGGCCAUUUUAGGCAAGUGCUGCUGUCUGGUGCCAGCUACACUAAGCAGGUGCUGUGGCCUGAGAUUUGUCCUGGCAGGAAUGGGAGGAAAACUGGUGUAACCCAGGCAUGUGCUCCCAGAGCUGCUGUUACUUCCCUGGGAGCCUCAGAGCUUCUUCCUACUAAGGAGCUUUUGCCUCCUGGGGGGGAGCCUGUAAAUCUAAUUACACACUGGGUGUUGGAGCAGCCAGCAGAGACCUCAGGUGUCCCCAGCUCUGUUUCAGAUCCUGUCCCCUGGUGCAAAUGAACUGCAGGACUGUCCAGGGUUCAGCUGAAC